rnacentral:rRNA from 1 species
CAGUAGCCGCGGUAAUACGUAGGUGGCAAGCGUUGUCCGGAAUUAUUGGGCGUAAAGGGCUCGCAGGCGGUUUCUUAAGUCUGAUGUGAAAGCCCCCGGCUCAACCGGGGAGGGUCAUUGGAAACUGGGAAACUUGAGUGCAGAAGAGGAGAGUGGAAUUCCACGUGUAGCGGUGAAAUGCGUAGAGAUGUGGAGGAACACCAGUGGCGAAGGCGACUCUCUGGUCUGUAACUGACGCUGAGGAGCGAAAGCGUGGGGAGCAAACAGGAUUAGAUACCCCUGUAGUCCCUGUCUCUUAUAA